CAGAGGCAGCGCUGCCGGGAGGGAGACGGGGACGUUCUCCCCUCCCCGUGCUCCCCCCGGGCGAGGGGUGUGCGGGAGCCCUCCUCGUCCCCUCGGUGGUGACAGCGGGGAGCCCCGGUGUCCCCGUCCCUCGGGGCCGGUGGCCGUGGGGUGCAGCCAGCGCCGAAGACCCUGCGGUGAUGCCGGGGAGCGAAGCAUCCUCCUGCAGCACGAGGGUCUCCAGGCCACGUCCCCGCAGCCCCGGGAGCUGCAGCAGCACCUGAAUCCCGCUCCUGGCUCAACCACGCCGGGGGAAGGCUGGCGUUUGUGGAUUAGCAUGGGAGAAGCCUUCCC
rnacentral:lncRNA from 1 species